AUUGAACGCUGGCGGCAGGCUAACACAUGCAAGUCGAGCGGGGGGAGGUAGCUUGCUACCGGACCUAGCGGCGGACGGGUGAGUAAUGCUUAGGAAUCUGCCUAUUAGUGGGGGACAACAUCUCGAAAGGGAUGCUAAUACCGCAUACGCCCUACGGGAGAAAGCAGGGGAUCUUCGGACCUUGCGCUAAUAGAUGAGCCUAAGUCGGAUUAGCUAGUUGGUGGGGUAAAGGCCUACCAAGGCGACGAUCCGUAGCGGGUCUGAGAGGAUGAUCCGCCACACUGGGACUGAGACACGGCCCAGACUCCUACGGGAGGCAGCAGUGGGGAAUAUUGGACAAUGGGGGGAACCCUGAUCCAGCCAUGCCGCGUGUGUGAAGAAGGCCUUAUGGUUGUAAAGCACUUUAAGCGAGGAGGAGGCUACUUUAGUUAAUACCUAGAGAUAGUGGACGUUACUCGCAGAAUAAGCACCGGCUAACUCUGUGCCAGCCGCCGCCGUAA
rnacentral:rRNA from 1 species